rnacentral:rRNA from 1 species
GAUGAACGCUGGCGGCGUGCCUAAUACAUGCAAGUCGAGCGAACGGACGAGAAGCUUGCUUCUCUGAUGUUAGCGGCGGACGGGUGAGUAACACGUGGAUAACCUACCUAUAAGACUGGGAUAACUUCGGGAAACCGGAGCUAAUACCGGAUAAUAUUUUGAACCGCAUGGUUCAAAAGUGAAAGACGGUCUUGCUGUCACUUAUAGAUGGAUCCGCGCUGCAUUAGCUAGUAGGUAAGGUAACGGCUUACCAAGGCAACGAUGCAUAGCCGACCUGAGAGGGUGAUCGGCCACACUGGAACUGAGACACGGUCCAGACUCCUACGGGAGGCAGCAGUAGGGAAUCUUCCGCAAAGGGCGAAAGCCUGACGGAGCAACGCCGCGUGAGUGAUGAAGGUCUUCGGAUCGUAAAACUCUGUUAUUAGGGAAGAACAUAUGUGUAAGUAACUGUGCACAUCUUGACGGUACCUAAUCAGAAAGCCACGGCUAACUACGUG